UAGGGAAUCUUCGGCAAUGGGGGGAACCCUGACCGAGCAACGCCGCGUGAGUGAAGAAGGUUUUCGGAUCGUAAAGCUCUGUUGUUAAGGAAGAACGAGUGUGAGAAUGGAAAGUUCAUACUGUGACGGUACUUAACCAGAAAGGGACGGCUAACUACGUGCCAGCAGCCGCGGUAAUACGUAGGUCCCGAGCGUUGUCCGGAUUUAUUGGGCGUAAAGCGAGCGCAGGCGGUUAGAUAAGUCUGAAGUUAAAGGCAGUGGCUCAACCAUUGUAGGCUUUGGAAACUGUUUAACUUGAGUGCAGAAGGGGAGAGUGGAAUUCCAUGUGUAGCGGUGAAAUGCGUAGAUAUAUGGAGGAACACCGGUGGCGAAAGCGGCUCUCUGGUCUGUAACUGACGCUGAGGCUCGAAAGCGUGGGGAGCGAACUGG
rnacentral:rRNA from 1 species